CUCUACAUGGUCUCUCUGUCACCCUGAAAGCAGAUUUAUUAACUGAUCGGCGAUUUCCCAGAUGCUCUGCAGAGAGGAAAGCCAUCAAGAACAACUGCACGACGAGGCAAACUGUAAGGUGCUGAAUGGAGAAGCAGGAGAAUGAUGCACACGAGACCAAAAAAAGGUCAGUGGUGAGAAAGAGGAUACACAGCAGGCUGUGCUACUUUUCCGGUUUUUAUUGAUGCGUGCUGCUUCACAGAAGACUACCUGUGUACUCUGUCACUGAACAACCAAGUAAAUUUAGUUUAUUUGACUUUUUUUGAAGUAGGACAGUGAAGUUGGUGUUUUUGACUGUGCAUAUAGAAUUAAAAUAUUUUCAGUUUUCUUUAAA